UUUUCAUUUUUAGUAAUUGUCCUCAGCAUUUAGAAGUUUGAUUUUCAGUUUAUCCUUGUCUUUUCACCUGUUCAACCAUUCUUUUGUUACUUGUUUAGUUAAUUGAUUUUUUCAUGUUCAAGUUUAUUAUUAGAUUUUUCUGCUCUCCUGCAUUUUGCGUCCUACACCUCCAGUUCCUAACAGCUCAAUGGGAUGAACAAACUGCACCUGUGUUGAACCUGAGAGAAGACAGACGAGUGAUCAGAGGAGACAGUCCAUCUCAACCACUGUUGGGAGAAAAGGAAGGAAAAUGAACAGGAGGGAACGCACAAAUUCCACAAAGAAAGGACCCAGGCAGGAUUAGGACGAGGACCUUUUUACUGCAAGGUAAGAGUAAAUCACUACCAUUAAUUAGUAAAGAUCUACUCCUAUGAAAACUGUGUUUUUUUUUUUUGUGUGUUUUAAUGUAUUCUUGUGGGGUUUUUUUUCUGAUGAUGGAGGGAAUAUGUAAAGAAAAUCAGGCUCAUAAUUGCCUUUCUGAGAGUUUUUUUUCUUUAAACAUUCUGAACAGGAGAAGAAAAAAAUGCAGAUGGAAAAAGAUUGUAUAUGUGCUCAGAGAGGCAAAUUUCUAAUAAUAAAAUACUGCUGCUCUGCAGAAACUAU